GGAGGGCGCAAGCGUUGUUCGGAAUUACUGGGCGUAAAGGGCGGGCAGGCGGUCUGUUAAGUCUUUUGUGAAAAUCCGGGGCUCAACCCCGUGAAACGCAGAAGAUACUGGCAGACUUGAGACCAGUAGAGGCUAGCGGAAUUCCUGGUGUAGCGGUGGAAUGCGUAGAUAUCAGGAAGAACACCUGUGGCGAAGGCGGCUAGCUGGGCUGGAUCUGACGCUCAUCCGCGAAAGCGUGGGGGAGCAAACAGGAUUAGAUACCCUGGUAGUCCACGCCGUAAACGAUGGGUACUAGAUGCCGGGUCUAUAGACAGGGUCGGUGUCGCAGCUAACGCAUUAAGUACCCCCGCCCUGGGAGUACGGCCGCAAGGCUG
rnacentral:rRNA from 1 species